rnacentral:rRNA from 1 species
AACGAACGCUGGCGGCAUGCCUAACACAUGCAAGUCGAACGAGAUCUUCGGGUCUAGUGGCGCACGGGUGCGUAACGCGUGGGAAUCUGCCCUUUGGUUCGGAAUAACAGUUGGAAACGACUGCUAAUACCGGAUGAUGACGAAAGUCCAAAGAUUGAUCGCCAGAGGAUGGGCCCGCGUAGGAUUAGCUAGUUGGUGUGGUAAAGGCGCACCAAGGCGACGAUCCUUAGCUGGUCUGAGAGGAUGAUCAGCCACACUGGGACUGAGACACGGCCCAGACUCAUAAGGGAGGCAGCAGUGGGGAAUAUUGGACAAUGGGCGAAAGCCUGAUCCAGCAAUGCCGCGUGAGUGAUGAAGGCCUUACGGUUGUAAAGCUCUUUUACCCGGGAUGAUAAUGACAGUACCGGGAGAAUAAGCUCCGGCUAACUCCGUGCCAGCCGCCGCCGUAA